rfam:Myotis brandtii contig206833, whole genome shotgun sequence.
GCUGCCGCUCACACUCACUGCUGGUGCCUGGUGCUGGUCCCAAUUACUUGGUGCCAUCAGUGGGUGUGAGCGGCAGCUG